rnacentral:rRNA from 1 species
UACAGAGGGUACUAGCGUUGUUCGGAAUCAUUGGGCGUAAAGGGCGCGUAGGCGGCCUGUUAAGUCGAACGUGAAAUCCCCGGGCUCAACCCGGGAACUGCGUCCGAUACUGGCAGGCUUGAAUCCGGGAGAGGGAUGCGGAAUUCCAGGUGUAGCGGUGAAAUGCGUAGAUAUCUGGAGGAACACCGGUGGCAAAGGCGGCAUCCUGGACCGGCAUUGACGCUGAGGCGCGAAAGCCAGGGGAGCAAACGGG